GCCAGCUCUGAAAAACUUUGCAAGAAUUGCUGUUAAGGAUUUUUGAAGUUUUUUUUCUUUUCUGUGUGAAUUCUAACUUCCCCUGUUACCUGUUCCAGGUGCUAUUUCUGCCUGACCUGUCCCAGUCCUCCGUUGUGGUACUGGCUACUUCCUGGAAUUGGACUGAACCUGGCAAGCGGGGCUUCUUUCCUGACUCUUAUCCUCUCCCUGGCGGUUUCCCCGGAUUCUCCAUGACGAGAGAUUAGAUUCACCGCUUCUGUUGAGUUUGACCAAGUUUGCAAUAAACUUCUUUAUUUUACAAG